AUUGAACGCUGGCGGCAGGCCUAACACAUGCAAGUCGAGCGGAUGAAGGGAGCUUGCUCCUGGAUUCAGCGGCGGACGGGUGAGUAAUGCCUAGGAAUCUGCCUGGUAGUGGGGGAUAACGUCCGGAAACGGGCGCUAAUACCGCAUACGUCCUGAGGGAGAAAGUGGGGGAUCUUCGGACCUCACGCUAUCAGAUGAGCCUAGGUCGGAUUAGCUAGUUGGUGGGGUAAAGGCCUACCAAGGCGACGAUCCGUAACUGGUCUGAGAGGAUGAUCAGUCACACUGGAACUGAGACACGGUCCAGACUCCUACGGGAGGCAGCAGUGGGGAAUAUUGGACAAUGGGCGAAAGCCUGAUCCAGCCAUGCCGCGUGUGUGAAGAAGGUCUUCGGAUUGUAAAGCACUUUAAGUUGGGAGGAAGGGCAGUAAGUUAAUACCUUGCUGUUUUGACGUUACCAACAGACUAAGCACCGGCUAACUUCGUA
rnacentral:rRNA from 1 species